UACGUAGGGGGCAAGCGUUGUCCGGAAUCAUUGGGCGUAAAGAGCGUGUAGGCGGCCAGAAAAGUCCGCUGUGAAAACUCGAGGCUCAACUUCGAGCUGUCGGUGGAAACUUUCUGGCUAGAGUCCGGAAGAGGAGAAUGGAAUUCCUGGUGUAGCGGUGAAAUGCGCAGAUAUCAGGAGGAACACCGGUGGCGAAGGCGGGUCUCUGGGCCGAUGACUGACGCUGAGGAGCGAAAGCGUGGGGAGCGAACAGG
rnacentral:rRNA from 1 species